GACGAACGCUGGCGGCGUGCUUAACACAUGCAAGUCGAACGGUGAAGGGACCGGUUUUUGCUGGUUCUGGAUGAGUGGCGAACGGGUGAGUAACACGUGAGUAACCUGCCCCCUUCUUCUGGAUAACCGCAUGAAAGUGUGGCUAAUACGGGAUAUUCUGCGCCUGCUGCAUGGUGGGUGUGGGAAAGAUAUUGUUUCGGUGGGGGAUGGGCUCGCGGCCUAUCAGCUUGUUGGUGGGGUGAUGGCCUACCAAGGCGGUGACGGGUAGCCGGCCUGAGAGGGUGGACGGUCACACUGGGACUGAGACACGGCCCAGACUCCUACGGGAGGCAGCAGUGGGGAAUAUUGCACAAUGGGCGCAAGCAUGAUGCAGCGACGCGGCGUGAGAGAUGGAGGCCUUCGGGUUGUAAACCUCUUUCGCCAGUGAAGCAGGCCUGUCCCUUUUGUGGGUGGGUUGACGGUAGCUGGAGAAGAAGCGCCGGCUAACUACGUG
rnacentral:rRNA from 1 species